GACGAACGCUGGCGGCGUGCUUAACACAUGCAAGUCGAACGGAAAGGCCCCCUUGUGGGGUACUCGAGUGGCGAACGGGUGAGUAACACGUGAGUAACCUACCCUUGACUUUGGGAUAACUUCAGGAAACUGGGGCUAAUACCGGAUAGGAGCUCCUGCUGCAUGGUGGGGGUUGGAAAGUUUCGGCGGUUGGGGAUGGGCUCGCGGCUUAUCAGCUUGUUGGUGGGGUAGUGGCUCACCAAGGCUUUGACGGGUAGCCGGCCUGGGAGGGUGACCGGCCAUGUGGGAGCUGGGACACGGCCCAGGCGCAGAGGGGGGGGAGGAGGUGGUGAUAUGGAACGAUGGGCGGACGUCUGGCGGAGCCACGCCGGGGGGGGGGGGGCGGCCUGAGGGUUGGAACCCGUUGUCGCUUGUGGGGGAGCGUGGGUGAGGGUAGUGGGGAAACAACCACCGCCUAACGACGUCCCAGCGGCGGCGUAAAUACCGAGGACCACUCUUCUCAUU
rnacentral:rRNA from 1 species